rnacentral:rRNA from 1 species
GCCUAGCCCUAAACAUAAAUAGUGAAAACACUACACUAUUUGCCAGAGAACUACAAGUAAAAACUCGAAACUCCAAGGACUUGGCGGUGUCCCACAUCCCCCUAGAGGAGCCUGUCCUAUAAUCGAUACCCCCCGAUCCACCCCACCACUUCUUGAACCUCAGCCUAUAUACCGCCGUCGCCAGCCUACCCUAUGAAGGAAGAAAAGUAAGCAAAACUGUCAUUGACUAACACGUCAGGUCAAGGUGUAGCACACGAAGUGGCAGAGAUGGGCUACACUCUCUUACCAAGAAAACACAAACAGCAAAAUGAAACCCAACUAGAAGGCGGAUUUAGAAGUAAGGAAAACAAGAAAGUUUACCUUAAACCAGCCCUGGGACACGCACACACCGCCCGUCA